UCGGGGGAUGAGUAAAGUGGCGCACGGGUGAGGAACGCGUAGGUAAUCUAACCCUCAGGCGGGGGACAACACUCCGAAAGGAAUGCUAAUACCGCGUAAGACCACACUUACUAAGGUGAGAGUGGUAAAAGAUGGCCUCUUCUUGAAAGCUAUCACCAGAGGAUGAGCCUGCGUCCCAUCAGCUUGUUGGUAAGGUAACGGCUUACCUAGGCGAAGACGGGUAGCUGGUCUGAGAGGAUGAUCAGCCACACUGGCACUGGAACACGGGCCAGACUCCUACGGGAGGCAGCAGUGAGGAAUAUUGGGCAAUGGGCGCAAGCCUGACCCAGCCACGCCGCGUGUGUGAUGAAGGCCUUCGGGUCGUAAAGCACUGUGGGGAGGGACGAAAAAUCUCCGUUCGAAUAGGGCGGAGGCUUGACGGUACCUCCUUAGCAAGCACCGGCUAACUCUGUG
rnacentral:rRNA from 1 species